rnacentral:rRNA from 1 species
CGGCGAGUGGCGAACGGGUGAGUAAUAUAUCGGAACGUACCCUGGAGUGGGGGAUAACGUAGCGAAAGUUACGCUAAUACCGCAUACGAUCUGAGGAUGAAAGUGGGGGAUGCGCAAGCACCUCAUGCUCCUGGAGCGGCCGAUAUCUGAUUAGCUAGUUGGUGGGGUAAAGGCCUACCAAGGCAUCGAUCAGUAGCUGGUCUGAGAGGACGACCAGCCACACUGGAACUGAGACACGGUCCAGACUCCUACGGGAGGCAGCAGUGGGGAAUUUUGGACAAUGGGCGAAAGCCUGAUCCAGCAAUGCCGCGUGAGUGAAGAAGGCCUUCGGGUUGUAAAGCUCUUUUGUCAGGGAAGAAACGGUGAGGGCUAAUAUCCCUUGCUAAUGACGGUACCUGAAGAAUAAGCACCGGCUAACUACGUGCCAGCAGCCGCGGUAAUACGUAGGGUGCAAGCGUUAAUCGGAAUUACUGGGCGUAAAGCGUGCGCAGGCGGUUUUGUAAGUCUGUCGUGAAAUCCCCGGGCUCAACCUGGGAAUUGCGAUGGAGACUGCAAG